UACGUAGGGGGCUAGCGUUAUCCGGAUUUAUUGGGCGUAAAGAGCGUGUAGGCGGCCAGGUAGGUCUGCUGUGAAAACUCGAGGCUCAACCUCGAGAUGUCGGCGGAAACCAUCUGGCUAGAGUCCGGAAGAGGAAAGUGGAAUUCCUGGUGUAGCGGUGAAAUGCGCAGAUAUCAGGAAGAACACCCGUGGCGAAGGCGGCUUUCUGGGACGGUACUGACGCUGAGACGCGAAAGCGUGGGGAGCGAACAGG
rnacentral:rRNA from 1 species